CUGGAAGGAAGACCAGAGGAGGAGACACCUCAGCCCAAAUGGAGGGAAUAAAGAGGGAAAGGAUGUUCAGUGACUCCUGUACCCCACGAGGACACAAGAAAAUCAGGUCAAGGCAACUUGCAUAGAAAAUCAGAAGAAAAGAAAAUGAAGAGGACAAAUGAAGCCUAGGGCUACAAGUAUUUGAAAAUGUAAAAAAUGUGGCAAGUACGGACUGUGGAGGAAUUCAAGUUUAUAUACAUGGUUGGGAGCAGGAAAUGUGGAGAAUAAAAAUUUCCUGUGCCUUCUGAAAUGCAUCCCCUUUGUCUAAGAUUUUCAAGAUCAGAACUAUUGAGAGGGUCUUGAUAUUUUCAGCUCAUUUUCUUUGGAUGACCACCCUCCCCUCUCACGAGGCCCUUGAGAAGCAAACAGGCACUCUUUCUUUCCAUGCUGAAAUGAAGAAAUGACUGAGUGAGUAUGUAAUGACUCGUGGAAGACCACACAGCAAGUUGGAAGAAGAUUCUGGAUUAGAAGCUUACAAUUUUCAUGUCACCCCCAGGAGUGCAAAACUGGUCCACAAGCAAAGUUUUUUUUAAGACAUAGAGGCCUCAAGAUGCAUGCUGAUCCACAGACAGGGUAAAACUCCUAAUUCCCUGGAUGCUAAGGAAACAACAAAUGUAAAAUACAUGUCAUAUAUCAUACAUCACAUAUUUAACAGCAAGAAUCAGAAAAUAACAGAAUCAGUGAUUAUUACACCAUGGGGAACUGUGUUUUCAGGAAGCAAACACCAAACCUGGAAGUCAUUCUGCUUAACAAAGCCAGGUAGUCAGUGUAAGUUACCAUCUUACCAGCAGUAGCUGCAAUGGAAGAAGCUGUUCCCAGGAAAAGGACAAAUAUGGAAAUCAUUUUCAUGGAAUCUUGUAGUUAAGCAGAUCUCUUUAUGCUUCAGCAGUACGUAGAGCCAUUCUGGAGGACACUGGGAAGGAACAUAGCUAGAAUCGGAG
ensembl:lncRNA